rnacentral:rRNA from 1 species
UACGGGGGGGGCAAGCGUUGUUCGGAAUUACUGGGCGUAAAGGGUUUGUAGGUGGCCAGCUAAGUCAGACGUGAAAUCCCUCGGCUUAACCGGGGAACUGCGUCUGAUACUGGAUGGCUGGAGUGUGGGAGAGGGAUGCGGAAUUCCAGGUGUAGCGGUGAAAUGCGUAGAUAUCUGGAGGAACACCGGUAGCGAAGGCGGCAUCCUGGACCAUUACUGACACUGAAAAGCGAAAGCCAGGGGAGCAAACGGG